AAUCAACGCUGGCGGCGUGCCUCAGACAUGCAAGUCGAACGCGAAAGUUCCCUUCGGGGAGCAAGUAGAGUGGCGCACGGGUGAGUAACACGUAGGUAAUUUGCCUUCGGGUGGGGAAUAACAGUCGGAAACGACUGCUAAUACCGCAUAAUGCAGCGGCUCGACAUCGAGACAGUUGUUAAAGCGGGGGAGUCCUUCGGGACCUCGCGCCUGAAGAGAAGCCUGCGGCAGAUUAGCUAGUUGGUGAGGUAAUGGCCCACCAAGGCUACGAUCUGUAACCGGCCUGAGAGGGCGGUCGGUCACACUGACACUGACAUACGGGUCAGACUCCUACGGGA
rnacentral:rRNA from 1 species